rnacentral:rRNA from 1 species
AGAGUUUGAUCCUGGCUCAGGAUGAACGCUGGCGGCGUGCUUAACACAUGCAAGUCGAACGAACCUUCGGGUUAGUGGCGGACGGGUGAGUAACGCGUGAGAAUCUGCCCUCAGGAGGGGGAUAACGGCUGGAAACGGCCGCUAAUACCCCAUAUGCCGAGAGGUGAAAUGAAUUUCGCCUGAGGAUGAGCUCGCGUCUGAUUAGCUAGUUGGUGGGGUAAGAGCCUACCAAGGCUUCGAUCAGUAGCUGGUCUGAGAGGAUGAUCAGCCACACUGGGACUGAGACACGGCCCAGACUCCUACGGGAGGCAGCAGUGGGGAAUUUUCCGCAAUGGGCGAAAGCCUGACGGAGCAACCCGCGUGAGGGAUGAAGGCCUCUGGGCUGUAAACCUCUUUUCUCAAGGAAGAAGAUCUGGCGGUACUUGAGGAAUAAGCCACGGCUAAUUCCGUGCCAGCAGCCGCGGUAAUACGGGAGUGGCAAGCGUUAUCCGGAAUUAUUGGGCGUAAAGCGUCCGCAGGCGGCCUUGAAAGUCUGCUGUUAAAGCGUGGAGCUUAACUCCAUUUCAGCAGUGGAAACUACAAGGCUAGAGUGUGGUAGGGGCAGAGGGAAUUCCCGGUGUAGCGGUGAAAUGCGUAGAUAUCGGGAAGAACACCAGUGGCGAAGGCGCUCUGCUGGGCCAUAACUGACGCUCAUGGACGAAAGCCAGGGGAGCGAAAGGGAUUAGAUACCCCUGUAGUCCUGGCCGUAAACGAUGAACACUAGGUGUCGGGGGAAUCGACCCCUCCGGUGUCGUAGCCAACGCGUUAAGUGUUCCGCCUGGGGAGUACGCACGCAAGUGUGAAACUCAAAGGAAUUGACGGGGGCCCGCACAAGCGGUGGAGUAUGUGGUUUAAUUCGAUGCAACGCGAAGAACCUUACCAGGGUUUGACAUCCUGCCAAUCCCUUGGAAACGAGGGAGUGCCUUCGGGAGCGCAGUGACAGGUGGUGCAUGGCUGUCGUCAGCUCGUGUCGUGAGAUGUUGGGUUAAGUCCCGCAACGAGCGCAACCCACGUCUUUAGUUGCCAGCAUUCAGUUGGGCACUCUAGAGAGACCGCCGGUGAUAAACCGGAGGAAGGUGUGGAUGACGUCAAGUCAUCAUGCCCCUUACAUCCUGGGCUACACACGUACUACAAUGCUACGGACAAAGGGCAGCAAACUCGCGAGAGCUAGCAAAUCCCAUAAACCGUGGCUCAGUUCAGAUCGUAGGCUGCAACUCGCCUACGUGAAGGAGGAAUCGCUAGUAAUCGCAGGUCAGCAUACUGCGGUGAAUACGUUCCCGGGCCUUGUACACACCGCCCGUCACACCAUGGAAGUUGGCCACGCCCGAAGUCGUUACUCCAACCCGCAAGGGAGGAGGAUGCCGAAGGUGGGGCUGAUGACUGGGGUGAAGUCGAAACAAGGUA